rnacentral:lncRNA from 1 species
UGCCCAUGAAAGCAGCUUUUCUUCCUGUCUGAUGCCGCUGUAUUUUUUCUUUUACUUUCCUGAAUUCGGCGCGGGGUUUUCAUCUGAAACUCGGCUGUCGUCGUCUGCAAUUUCUCUCCGAAAAUUUGUCUGCUCGAGCUUCAGAUUUCUUUAUUCAUCUCAAGUUCUUGACUGUUGACAGGCGAAUCGGGCGUCAUGGUCGAGGCCCCUGUAGGAAACAGGACCAGAUGUUUAACUCUGGAAGAGGCGGCAGACAGCAUACUAUUCUGUAGUUCUAUCGUUCAGGAUCUUGCCUUCCAGGCCGCCGCCAUUGGGAUGGAGAAAGAGCGCCCGCCUCCUCAAGAGGAUUAUCGACCCAGUGCUGUCUCGCCAGAGAAGCCCGCAUCCGACGAAAAGUCGCCCCGUAGAAGCGCGACGAAGUCAACGAAGGCCCGAAGAAAAAUCUCUGAGAUGGAUGCGAAGAUCGUGGCUGCGGAGCCAGGAAGCAACGGGAAAAUACACAAAUUCUCACCUUCGAAGGCUGAGCCUCCCGACAAGGUCGGCCAUGGGAAGCCUUUGAAGCUGGAUUCGUCGAAGAUGUGCAGUUGCACCGUGAUGUAGAGGGUUUCCCUUGUUU